UACGUAGGGCGCAAGCGUUAUCCGGAAUUAUUGGGCGUAAAGAGCUCGUAGGCGGUUUGUCGCGUCUGCCGUGAAAGUCCGGGGCUCAACUCCGGAUCUGCGGUGGGUACGGGCAGACUAGAGUGAUGUAGGGGAGACUGGAAUUCUUGGUGUAGCGGUGAAAUGCGUAGAGAUCCGGAAGAACACCGGUGGCGAAGGCGGCCAUCUGGACCGCAACUGACGCUGAGGCGCGAAAGCGUGGGGAGCAAACAGGG
rnacentral:rRNA from 1 species